rnacentral:lncRNA from 1 species
AGAAAAUGAGCAAGCAUGUGAUCAUCAAUUGCAGUAUCUUCUCUAUCUAGAUGGCAUAAAGGUAAUGCCCAGAAAAUGAUAAAGCAAAAGCGGUAAGACCACUCAUAACUGAUAAUACAAAGUCGCACCAUAAAAAGCCAAAGGACUCCACAAUGGCAGAGAAGGUGCUUCAGCAAUUGUUUAGUUAGAAAGUUUCUCAAACAAUAUCUGUUGUUUUCUUUGAUAAACAGAAAAUUUGUACACAUAAAUCAUUAGCAUGGACCCUACGGGCCCAUGUUGCAGGACAUAUCAAGCAGUAUCUCACCACCCGGACUGACAAAUCCACCACUUUAUACAACCAUUUUAUAAUUGCUAUUCAUCCUGCAGUUCAUUCUCCUCUAAAUAUUCAAAAUGCCUAGAGUGCACCACCACUGUAAAUCCCUGUCAACUUAGCAAGUAAACUUUCAUUAAUUGAAACACUAGAUUUCAAGGCUACUCGUUCAUGUCAAAACUCACCAUCACUUCUACCAGACCACAAGGGCAACAUACAGCUCAAAAAAUUUCAACUACCAUAUUAAAACAUCGAAAAUUAUAAAUAUAAGCGAGGAAUACAGAUUCUAAAAUAGUAUAUAUGGCACAGCAGAUUCACAUCAUUCAGAGUUAUCAGAUUACUGAACAUCAAAAAUUCCUCAAACUUCUAUAGUAUAUGUCAGCGGCAUAUUGUUAAGCAUAAGUGCAAUCAAGAACUCCUCUCUAUUCAUAAUCUAGACUCACAAGUCAGGUGUCAGUGUAACUUGACUUUGACUUUACCAAAAGUGUUUCAUUUAUUCAAAGGACAAAUAAAUAAACACCCAUUUGGAAACAAUACAAACACUGAUUGAGACCAUCAGCUGGGAGCAGCUAAUGUUACAGCACAACCUAAGAAAUAAAAGCACAGACCACUCUCUCUCAUCUUAGUAGAUUCAGCCUCAGAUCAUAACUUAAGACCCACUUGUUUACACCAUAACCGAGGAAAUGAUUCCUCCGUCAUCCAUUUGAUAUGAUCGGUAGCCCAACAUAUAUAGCCUGACUCAUGCAUGUAUCAAUUAGUAGUGAAAGAAAAUACUUUGUAACAGUUGAAAAGUUAAUAUGAUGGAAAAAGUAAUAAAAGAAAAAAGACUACACCUCAGUCUCAAACAAGUUGGGGUUGGCUCAUAUGAUGGAAAAAGCAUUACAUCAAAAUCUAAAUCAAUAUAUUAAAAGCCUUUGAUACAUGAAACAUGUGAAAAUCAUAUGAAAUAGUAUUAUCAAUACUAUACCGUUACGCAUUCUGGAAUAUCCAAAGACAAUGCAAUAUAAAUUGGAGGAUGGGCACUAACAUUUUGUUACCCGAAUUAAAUUAACAUCUGAAGGCAAAGGAGAGAAAUCACGUCUACGCUCUCAACAGAGCUGACAAUUCUUUAUUAACUUACCUGUGGCACAAAAAUGCUUCCAGUGGUAUUCAGUCCCACUCCUUCAUGGAGUAGAGACAACACAGUUGGAGGCAAUGCAGAUCUAUCAUCAGGUGGAUUAAUCUUUUUACCGCAGACAUAUGCCUCAACUACAGUCAUCUACAAAGGAAAAAUUAAAAUAUGCAGAUCUAUCAUCAGGUGGAUCAAUCUUUUUACCGCAGACAUAUGCCUCAACUACAGUCAUCUACAAAGGAAAAAUUAAAAUAGAAUUGAAGCUCGGCAGCAUUGUAGAGCAAAGCUGUAUACAGUAUAAAUUGGCUCGUCCCAACAUCAGCGCUAAAUCCAGUCACAACCAAGAAGGGGAAAAUGGAACAAAAAAAGAAAGGAAGAGAAAGUAGGGGAAAAGUACAGGAGGUUUUUAAAAAAAUUCCA